GUCUCAGCUCAGUGGUAGAGCGGAAGAUUGCAGAUCUUCAGGUCCUGUGUUCGAACCACAGUUGGGACU